rnacentral:rRNA from 1 species
UAGGGAAUCUUCCGCAAUGGGCGAAAGCCUGACGGAGCAACGCCGCGUGAGUGAUGAAGGUCUUCGGAUCGUAAAACUCUGUUAUUAGGGAAGAACAAAUGUGUAAGUAACUAUGCACGUCUUGACGGUACCUAAUCAGAAAGCCACGGCUAACUACGUGCCAGCAGCCGCGGUAAUACGUAGGUGGCAAGCGUUAUCCGGAAUUAUUGGGCGUAAAGCGCGCGUAGGCGGUUUUUUAAGUCUGAUGUGAAAGCCCACGGCUCAACCGUGGAGGGUCAUUGGAGACUGGAAAACUUGAGUGCAGAAGAGGAGAGUGGAAUUCCAUGUGUAGCGGUGAAAUGCGCAGAGAUAUGGAGGAACACCAGUGGCGAAGGCGACUUUCUGGUAUGAAACUGACGCUGAUGUGCGAAAGCGUGGGGAUCAAACAGG